rnacentral:rRNA from 1 species
GAGUUUGAUCCUGGCUCAGGACGAACGCUGGCGGCGUGCCUAACACAUGCAAGUCGAACGGGGAUAUUGAUUUCGGUUGAUAUCCUAGUGGCGAACGGGUGAGUAACGCGUGAGCAACCUGACCUUUUGAGGGGGAUAACACCUGGAAACGACUGCUAAUACCGCAUAAGCCCACGGUGCCGCAUGACACUGAGGGAAAAGGAUUUAUUCGCUUUAGGAUGGACUCGCGUCCAAUUAGCUAGUUGGUGAGGUAACGGCCCACCAAGGCGACGAUUGGUAGCCGGACUGAGAGGUUGAACGGCCACAUUGGGACUGAGACACGGCCCAGACUCCUACGGGAGGCAGCAGUGGGGGAUAUUGCACAAUGGGGGAAACCCUGAUGCAGCGACGCCGCGUGGAGGAAGAAGGUUUUCGGAUUGUAAACUCCUGUCGUUAGGGACGAUAAUGACGGUACCUAACAAGAAAGCACCGGCUAACUACGUGCCAGCCGCCGCGGUAAUUC